GGAUAGGUUGAAUUCAUCGUGG
rnacentral:miRNA from 1 species